rnacentral:rRNA from 1 species
UACGAAGGUGGCAAGCGUUGUUCGGAUUUACUGGGCGUAAAGGGCGCGUAGGUGGUUAGGUAAGCCCUCCGGGAAAUCUUCAGGCUUAACCUGAAAAGGUCGGGGGGGACUGCCUAGCUAGAGGGCGGGAGAGGAGCGCGGAAUUCCCGGUGUAGCGGUGAAAUGCGUAGAGAUCGGGAGGAAGGCCGGUGGCGAAGGCGGCGCUCUGGAACGUUUCUGACACUGAGGCUCGAAAGCGUGGGGAGCAAACAGG